GCCAGCCAGGCCGGGGGGGCCCAUGGGGCCGGGAGGACCGCGCUCGCCAGGAGAACCAGAGGGACCUUGCUUGCCGGGUUCGCCCUACAGAGGGGAGAGCGCACGGGGAUGCGUCGGACACCGGGGAGCAUCCCCCAGCCUCGGGGGGGCCGCACCGGACACACACCGCUUUUCGCCCCAUCCCGUGGCCGAGGCGUCGAAGCCCACCCCGUCCCCCCUCCGGCGUGGAGGGCGCGAGACCCCCCCCCCCGCCCCGGCGGCUACUUACUGUCCUCUUCUCCUUGCCCGCGGGUGAGUAGUACAGUCGCUGCUAUCAACAGCAGUAACCGAGAAUCCACAAAGCUGAACAUGUCUAAAUAUUAGACAUGUAGACUCUUUGGGCCUCUUUGUCUUUAGGGUCGGGUCAUUCAGGGCCGGUCUCACUCU